GGAAGUUGUUGCCAUGGCAAUACCUAAAACAGCAGAAAUUGGCUUGUAAUCUCAACACAGGAGACCAACAGACCUCGCUAGACUGUUUGCAGCUAGGCAGAAACAAUGGAAAGAUGGGUUAUAUCAUUCUUCCUUAAAAAACAGAAGCAUUCCAGAGAACCAGAGGAGGAGUUCAUAUUACUUGUGCCACUUUUGUAAAAUAACCAUAAAAUCCUUGUGAAGGUGUUUUGAUUGAAUAUUCCUGGUUAGCUGGACAAAAAUGAUCCUUUCUAAAUGAUUCAUCAAACUGAAUUUGAACUCUCAUCUUAUUCUCC